GGAGGGGACAGCUCAGUGGUGGAGCGUGUGCUUAGCAUGCAGAAAGGUCCUGGGUUCAAUCCCCGGUACCGCCA
rnacentral:tRNA from 1 species